rnacentral:tRNA from 1 species
GCCUGGGUGGCUCAUCGGUUAAGCAUCUGACUUCAGCUCAGCUCAUGAUCUCACAGCUCGUGGGUUCAAGCGCCACAUCAGGCU